AUCCUUAAGGUUGAUAAACCUUGACAAGCCUAUGGGGCUACUAUAGUAUUCUCUUAUUACGGGUAAGAGUAUCAAGCAUAAGCGAAAUUCCGUGCUUAUGUAAUGCUAAGUUAGUGCAGACUUAAAAAUUAGGC
rnacentral:ribozyme from 1 species